rnacentral:lncRNA from 1 species
UGAGAUCUUUGAAAUCUUCCUCCUUGUUAUCUCCGCUAGAAAAGAUAAUUCAAGAAAUUGAAUGUAUGAAGUCACAAAAUCAUUUGAUCAUCAGCAAUCAAUUCUUUAAUCUUUUGAUUAUGCUUUGUUCCGGCGAGAAACUGAUUUUAUAAUUUUUUUUUCUUUGUAAAAUUUUGGAAGAGGCAGAGCAGACCAAUUGGGAUGUCGCCACGUGGGGGACUGAAAAUGCAUUGAGUGGAUGAAGUGGAUUAGUGAUCUAUCGGGCUGCCAGAAUCUUGCCAUGCCUUCAAAUGGGUAUGCUCUUGUCUAUGCUGACAGAUAUUGUUGUGUUCCAUAUAAUUCCUGACACAAAAAUGACUCUAUUGCAUCUUUUCUCCCUGUUUUCACUCUGUUUCUAAAAUAAGUAAUGAACCUUUAGUUAGGCAGGUUCAUGUUAAUUUUAUGUUAGAUUUCGAUUUCUUUCAGUAGUUUUGCCAUGAUGGCUGUGUAAUGUAUCUUGUUUUAAGAUCAACACCCAUGAUUUAGUUGUAUUCUUAUGCAUUUAAGUUCACUGUAUCAAUAACACUGAAAAACCUUUCAUCUAUUAUCGCACCAUCAGCAAGAUGAUCCAUCACAAGUUGAAGAUUCUAUAUCCGUGGGAAAUGGCCGUCGAAUGUGUCGAUCAGAUAGCUGAUGUUGAAGCUCCAUGGAAGGGCUUGAGGUGAGGAUGUUAUAUUUGCAGAAAGGAAUGUAUAUAGUGUAUGGCUUGUUUCUGGUCAAUCUUGGAUAUUCUAUGUGCAAGUGAAUGAGAUGAUGAUUUAUUAGUUGUAGGCCUGUAGUUUGCUACUCAUAACUAGAUGUAUAAUCUGAGAGGUUCUCUGUUCGCCUUUUUUAGCGACAGAUUACACCAUUCUAAACUAAUGUCUUCCUUUUUAUCUUCAUAGAACACUAGUUGAAUCGACUAAUGCUACGAUAUCAGCUAAUCAAAAUGAAAAACUUGUAUUCUUGCGAAGCAAG